rnacentral:rRNA from 1 species
GGGCCCGCACAAGCGGUGGAGUAUGUGGUUUAAUUCGAUGCAACGCGAAGAACCUUACCAGGGUUUGACAUCCUGCGAAUCUCUUGGAAACAGGAGAGUGCCUUCGGGAACGCAGUGACAGGUGGUGCAUGGCUGUCGUCAGCUCGUGUCGUGAGAUGUUGGGUUAAGUCCCGCAACGAGCGCAACCCACGUCUUUAGUUGCCAGCAUUUAGUUGGGCACUCUAGAGAGACUGCCGGUGAUAAACCGGAGGAAGGUGUGGAUGACGUCAAGUCCUCAUGGCCCUUACGUGUUGGGCUACACACGUGCUACAAUGGUAUCUACAACAGGAAGCAAGACGGCGACGUUAAGCAAAUCCUUAAAAGAUACCUCAGUUCGGAUUGUACUCUGCAACUCGAGUACAUGAAGCUGGAAUUACUAGUAAUCGU